AAGCUAGAUGGGAUACUGACCUCCUAAGCAGUUUGGAGGACUGGGCAUUUGAAGACUGGAUUUAUGAAAUCUUCUUGUAUUUCAAAUUGUCUGUGGAGCAUUUCGUUGAGUUGUGGCCAAAGGAUCAGCCGCAAUACUUAAUUCUCAUUGGAAAUGCCUGCUGCUAGGUCUGAAGAGUUGGUUCCCAUACAAGCUGCAGUUUGGGGUGUGCUUUUGCUAGUUCCUCAGCUGCAAGCAAAGUUUUUUUUUGCACGGCUUCUUCAAAUGGUUGCCUUAACUUUUGUUGCAUGGGAUAUUGUCAGAAACAAGGAUGCUGAUGUUGACUGGCACAAACUUGGGUGGUUCUCCCCUAAUGUCCCAAGAUUUGGCUUUAUUUUUCGGUUAGUAAUACAUGAUAAACUUCCCACUGUUGAAAGGAUUAACA